rnacentral:rRNA from 1 species
GAUGAACGCUGGCGGCGUGCCUAAUCCAUGCAAGUCGAGCGAACGGACGCGAAGCUUUCUUCUCUGGUGUUAGCGUCGGACGGGGGAGUAAAACGUGGAUAACCUCCCUAUAAUACUUGGAUAACUUCGGGAAACCGGAGCUCAUACCGGAUGAUAUUUUGAACCGCAUGGUUCAAGAGUGAAAGACGGUCUUGCUGUCACUUAUAGAUGGAUCCGCGCUGCAUUAGCUAGUUGGUAAGGUAACGGCUUACCAAGGCAACGAUGCAUAGCCGACCUGAGAGGGUGGUGGGCCACAAUGGAACUGAGAAACGGCCCAGACUCCUACGGGAGGCAGCAGUAGGGAAGCUUACGCAAUGGGCGGAAGACUGACGGAGCAACGCCGCGUGAGUGAUGAAGGUCUUCGGAUGGUAAAACUCUGUUAUUAGGGAAGAAGAUAUGUGGAAGUAACUGUGCACAUCUUGACGGUACCUAAUCAGAAAGCCACGGCUAACUACGUG